UUAAUAAAAAUCGGCGUGUUGCUCUUUUGUGACGUUCCGGAGUUUGGGUCAUCUUAUAACAACACCCUUUCAGGGUAUUUUUAAGAGGCUUAAAAUUGACCUUUUUUGUGCAUUUUAGACGUACAUAAAUUUUUUUUUAUUCGUCAAUCUUAAUGCCAAAUCCAUUAGAUGCGACCAUAUCGUGUGGUUCCGUGUCUAUAAAUUUUUCAUG
rnacentral:misc_RNA from 1 species